rnacentral:lncRNA from 1 species
GUCAGGAGAGAAAGGACAGCUGACAGAUUGAAAAGGGACGGAUGGACUCUGUAACGUGAUGAGGCAGCCUCGAGACCAAGGCUAUUCUGGGCUGCACUCACUAGAGCUGUGAAGUAGAGGCAGGGCCUGCUCCCUGCUUCAUGUUUCCAGAGGGACUUAUGCAAUGCCUGCCAGAAGCAAAAAGAUGGUUCUGGACACUCUCAGCAGGCUGUUUCCCGGGAAGAGGGAAGGAACACCUGUGGCAUCCCAGCUGGAAGGGCCCUCUGGGGUCGUGCAGGCCACCUCUCAAAAGUUCAAGAGCCAGCAAUGCUUGUCUGCAGUCCCUCAUUAAGGUAGGUGACAGGCAAACCCACCACCAUCCUCAGACCUGUCAGCCAGGGCUUUCCACUCCCAAGUCCUGGGGGAAUAGGGUGAUUCUUGGAAUGUAA